CCGAGAACCGGCGCCCUCGUGGCCCGACCCUCAAACCACCGCGUACCGAACUUCAACGUUGCCUCGGCGGGGCCCCCGUUCACGCGGGAGCGCCGCCGCAGGACGCAACCAAAACCGUUUUGUGAGACGAACGUCUGAUAACCUUCUUCGCGAAUGCGAUAAAGUA
rnacentral:misc_RNA from 1 species